AUACGGAGGGUGUUAGCGUUGUUCGGAAUUACUGGGCGUAAAGCGCACGUAGGCGGACUGGAAAGUUGGGGGUGAAAUCCCGGGGCUCAACCCCGGAACUGCCUCCAAAACUUCCAAUCUAGAGAUCGAGAGAGGUGAGUGGAAUUCCAAGUGUAGAGGUGAAAUUCGUAGAUAUUUGGAGGAACACCAGUGGCGAAGGCGGCUCACUGGCUCGAUACUGACGCUGAGGUGCGAAAGCGUGGGGAGCAAACAGGAUUAGAAACCCCAGUAGUCC
rnacentral:rRNA from 1 species